UACGUAGGGUGCGAGCGUUGUCCGGAAUUACUGGGCGUAAAGAGCUCGUAGGUGGUUUGUCGCGUUGUCCGUGAAAACUCACAACUCAAUUGUGGGCGUGCGGGCGAUACGGGCAGACUGGAGUACUGCCGGGGAGACUGGAAUUCCUGGUGUAGCGGUGGAAUGCGCAGAUAUCAGGAGGAACACCGGUGGCGAAGGCGGGUCUCUGGGCAGUAACUGACGCUGAGGAGCGAAAGCGUGGGGAGCGAACAGG
rnacentral:rRNA from 1 species